rnacentral:rRNA from 1 species
CAUGAAGCUGGAAUCGCUAGUAAUCGCGGAUCAGAAUGCCGCGGUGAAUACGUUCCCGGGUCUUGUACACACCGCCCGUCACACCAUGGGAGUCGGAAAUGCCCGAAGUCUGUGACCCAACCUGCAAGGGAGGGAGCAGCCGAAGGCAGGUCGGAUGACUGGGGUGAAGUCGUAACAAGGUAAC